UUUAAUGUAAAGUGGGACUUGACAAAACAGCACCGAGCAAAGAGAAGACCUUUUGUUGCUAAUGCGUCUGAAAAAAGCACUUAAUUGAGGUCAUAAUAAUAUUAGCCGUUAUCACCAUCAAUAAUUCAGCCUUAUUUAUUACUACACGGUAAAGUUCUGUCAAACAGGAGUCGUUGAGGCUUUGUUAUACAUGUUAACACGAAGCUGGCUGUUGGGUGAUUGGUAUAUAUUUCACCAGCUGCUCGAAACUGCGGGAUAGCAAGAACUAAUGACACUCUUUCUUGGUCCGUGCAUUACACAAUAGUUAAUUUGCUGUAUGCAGAAGUAUACGUUACAAAUGUAAUAGUCCCGCAUAAAGUAUGCAUAAUAAAAAAAGCAUUAUAUCUGAAACAGUGACUGACUAAUCUUGCCUGAGCUAUCUGUCAGAAGGAAAACAAUUUCAAUUCCUGCAUGAUUUAGUACUCCUACAGCUGAAGAAACAUAAAUUCUGCCUCUUCACACAGCUCUAGUCACCUGUGAUUAGUUAUCUUUAAAAAAUCUAAAUGAACGUAUAAUUGUACAAUUAUAGAUGCUAACUCCAGUGUUAAAAUUUAAAAUGUAUUAGUCUCGUAAAAUGCCUCAUUAAUCUCUGGGUCUUAAAGGACAUACAUGUCCUGUAACGAGCCAAACGUAGGGAAUAUGAGAUGGUCGAUGGGAGGAUUUGAGCUCCUAUUUCUUUUAACCUUCGAAACGUUUUAUUCCCACAAAACCUGUUUACAAACACAAAGAAGUUGUCAGUGACAAAGUCGGUUGUAGUUUUCUGGUCGUUAACUAUGGAAAUGAGCUGUUUGGAAGAGAUUAGAUUUUCCUUAUACACAGGAUUCGUGAAUUUACAACAGCUCCAUAAUCACUAGCUGGAAGUGCAAGCAGAAAGGUUGGGCAGGAAUAUUGAUCUCGCCCCGCCUGCUAAUGACUGCUGCUCCCCUGCGCUGAUUGCAGGAAGCUCCUCAUAGGUUUUUACCACCUUCCUUAAGGGAAAUAAAUAAAUAAAUAAAUAAAUAAAGGCCACGGGCUACCUGUGAAAACCCAAGCUAAUCCCACACAGGCUGCCCACUUGGCAGCAGCGAGGUGGCUCCUUGGAGGAGCUAGGGACAACUGACACAGUGAGGCAUUCAAAUGGGGGAACUAAAAACUGAUAAAUUGCACAGAGGGAUCCUUAACCUCAGCCCUUUGGCAACACAGUGAUGUUUCUUCCCUUUUCUUUUUGCUCAGCCCUUCUUGGAAGUGCCAUACACAUCUGAUUUAUUGUUUUCCAGCUGCCUCAGAGCUGGCUAAUUCGGGAUGCCCGCUCCUCGCCGCGCACAACCCCACUAAUGAUGGCUGUAAACCGCCUGCCCCACCGCCUCCAAAAUCAUCUCGCCUUCUGCUCCUCCCGCCUGCCCGGUCAAUAGCCAGCUUGGCCCUAUCGCUCCAAAGCACAUCUGGAUUCAUAGAUUUGAACCUUUUGAUCCUGGAAAUGCAGCAGCUCCAGACAAGCCUUCCUUUGCAAUGGGCUCUGUGCAGAUUCCUCACCCCAUUUGAAUGAGAAAGUUAUCCUCGGGCUCAACAAACUGACAUGCGGCUCCUGACAAUAAUAGGGUAUCGCUCAGCCAGUUUGUAGGGCUGAAAAAGAGACUCUUCUGCUUCCCUGGCUGGUGGGUUGGCUUGGGCUUUUCGUUGCUUUUAAACAGCAUGACAUUUUAAAAGUUAUUAGGGCAUUAAUGCUGCUUUUUAAUGAAAAAUGCUUUAUAAAACUACUGAUAAGGCAUUAACAUAAGUUUACCUCCGAAUGCGAGUCGUUAUUUUUUUCUAUUUCACUAUCCAUUGCUUCAUUAAAUCAACACUGAAAACGACUAGCCUUGCCGAAUUUCUCACUGCACAUUCAACUGUUUGCCCAUGACAGUAUUUGAAUGUGCUUAUUAUUUCUAGUAAAGCCCUUAUCAUUUUCACUGUGAAAUUUAAAUCACCCUGAUCCAACUCUUCUUAGCUAAAGUCAGCUUUAUCAACCACAAGAGAUGUGGGAUUUUAAAAAGAUCUGAGUAAAUUCACAUUGUUUGGAUAAACUCAUUCAGGGGGUUCAGCAAAUGAAAGCUGAAAUAGAUAUGUAUUCCGAGGAGGCUAUGGACUGCUCAAAAACAAAGAAGUUAAAGCAUAAUUUAAAAAGAAAGAAAAAAAGAAAAAAAGAAAGAAGGGGAAAAAAAGUUAAUGGUAUCAGUGUCUCUUUAAUGAGGGCAUUCACAACCCAGGUUUUGAAUUGGUAUUUCUGCGCCUCCACAAUAAUUCAGGUGAAAAGUAAAACAAAACAAAACCAGACAAACCAUAAAACUGUUUAUGCAGAAAUAAAAUUGUUCUCUACAAUUUA